rnacentral:lncRNA from 1 species
UUGGUAUUUUGAAAAUGGUCAUUCAUGGCUAUUUUCGACAAAAAUGGGGGUUGUGUGGCCAUUGAUCAUCGACUAGAGGCUCAUACACCUCACCCCACAUAUGUUUCCUUGCCAUAGAUCACAUUCUUGGAUUUCUGGUGGAGACCAUUUCUUGGUCAAAAAUCCGUAGGUGUUAGCCUUCGGUAUUAUUGAAAAUGGUCGUUCAUGGCUAUUUUCGACAAAAAUGGGGGUUGUGUGGCCAUUGAUCAUCGACCAGACGCUCAUACACCUCACCCCACAUAUGUUUCCUUGCCAUAGAUCACAUUCUUGGAUUUCUGGUGGAGACCAUUUCUUGGUCAAAAUCCGUAGGUGUUAGCCUCUAGUAUUAUUGAAAAUGGUGCUCAUGGCUAUUUUCAAGGUCGCUCAUGGCUAUUUUCAUAAAAAAUGGGGGUUGUGUGGCCAUUUAUCAUCGACUAGGCUCAUACACCUCACCCCACAUAUGUUUCCUUGCCAUAGAUUACAUUCUUGGAUUUCUAGUGGAAACCAUUUCUUGGUUAAAAACUCGUACGUGUUAGCCUUCGGUAUUAUUGAAAAUGGUCAUUCAUGGCUAUUUUCGGCAAAAUGGGGGUUGUGUGGCCAUUGAUCGUCGACCAGAGGCUCAUACACCUCACCCCACAUAUGUUUCCUUGUCGUAGAUCACAUUCUUGGAUUUCUGGUGGAGACCAUUUCUUGGUCAAAAAUCCGUAGGUGUUAGCCUUCGAUAUUAUUGAAAAUGGUCAUUCAUGGCUAUUUUCGGCAAAAUGGGGGUUGUGUGGCCAUUGAUCGUCGACCAGAGGCUCAUACACCUCACCCCACAUAUGUUUCCUUGUCGUAGAUCACAUUCUUGGAUUUCUGGUGGAGACCAUUUCUUGGUCAAAAAUCCGUAGGUGUUAGCCUUCGAUAUUAUUGAAAAUGGUCGUUCAUGGCUAUUUUCGACAAAAAUGGGGGUUGUGUGGCCAAUGAUCAUCGACCAGAGGCUCAUACACCUCACCCCACAUAUGUUUCCUUGCCAUAGAUCACAUUCUUGGAUUUCUGGUGGAGACCAUUUCUUGGUCAAAAAUCCGUAGGUGUUAGCCUUCGGUAUUAUUGAAAAUGGUCGUUCAUGGCUAUUUUCGACAAAAAUGGGGGUUGUGUGGCCAUUGUCAUCGACCAGACGCUCAUACACCUCACCCCACAUAUGUUUCCUUGCCAUAGAUCACAUUCUUGGAUUUCUGGUGGAGACCAUUUCUUGGUCUAAAAUCCGUAGGUGUUAGCCUCUAGUAUUAUUGAAAAUGGUCGCUCAUGGCUAUUUUCAAGUCGCUCAUGGCUAUUUUCAUAAAAAAUGGGGGUUGUGUGGCCAUUUAUCAUCGACUAGAGGCUCAUAAACCUCACCCCACAUAUGUUUCCUUGCCAUAGAUCACAUUCUUGGAUUUCUGGUGGAGACCAUUUCUUGGUCAAAAAUCCGUAGGUGUUAGCCUUCGGUAUUAUUGUAAAUGGUCGUUCAUGGCUAUUUUCGACAAAAAUGGGGGUUGUGUGGCCAUUGAUCAUCGACCAGAGGCUCAUACACCUCACCCCACAUAUGUUUCCUUGCCAUAGAUCACAUUCUUGGAUUUCUGGUGGAGACCAUUUCUUGGUCUAAAAUCCGUAGGUGUUAGCCUCUAGUAUUAUUGAAAAUGGUCGCUCAUGGCCACACAACCCCCAUUUUUGUCGAAAAUAGCCAUGAACGACCAUUUUCAAUAAUACCGAAGGCUAACACCUACGGAUUUUUGACCAAGAAAUGGUCUCCACCAGAAAUCCAAGAAUGUGAUCUAUGGCAAGGAAACAUAUGUGGGGUGAGGUGUAUGAGCCUCUAGUCGAUGAUCAAUGGCCACACAACCCCCAUUUUUGUCGAAAAUAGCCAUGAAUGACCAUUUUCAAAAAUACCAAAGGCUAACACGUACGGAUUUUUGACCAAGAAAUGGUCUCCACCAGAAUCCAAGAAUGUGAUCUAUGGCAAGGAAACAUAUGUGGGGUGAGGUGUAUGAGCCUCUGUCGAUGAUCAAUGGCCACACAACCCCCAUUUUGCCGAAAAUAGCCAUGAACGACCAUUUUCAAUAAUACCGAAGGCUAACACGUACGAGUUUUUAACCAAGAAAUGGUCUCCACCAGAAAUCCAAGAAUGUGAUCUAUGGCAAGGAAACAUAUGUGGGGUGAGGUUAUGAGCCUCUGGUCGAUGAUAAUGGCCACACAACCCCCAUUUUUUAUGAAAAUAGCCAUGAGCGACCAUUUUCAAUAAUACUAGAGGCUAAACCUACGGAUUUUAGACCAAGAAAUGGUCUCCACCAGAAAUCCAAGAAUGUGAUCUAUGGCAAGGAAACAUAUGUGGGGUGAGGUGUAUGAGCCUCUGGUCGAUGAUCAAUGGCCACACAACCCCCAUUUUUGUCGAAAAUAGCCAUGAACGACCAUUUUCAAUAAUACCGAAGGCUAACACCUACGGAUUUUUGACCAAGAAAUGGUCUCCACCAGAAAUCCAAGAAUGUGAUCUAUGGCAAGGAAACAUAUGUGGGGUGAGGUGUAUGAGCCUCUAGUCGAUGAUCAAUGGCCACACAACCCCCAUUUUUGUCGAAAAUAGCCAUGAACGACCAUUUUCAAUAAUACCGAAGGCUAACACCUACGGAUUUUUGACCAAGAAAUGGUCUCCACCAGAAAUCCAAGAAUGUGAUCUAUGGCAAGGAAACAUAUGUGGGGUGAGGUGUAUGAGCCUCUGGUCGAUGAUCAAUGGCCACACAACCCCCAUUUUGCCGAAAAUAGCCAUGAAUGACCAUUUUCAAUAAUACCGAAGGCUAACACGUACGAGUUUUUAACCAAGAAAUGGUUUCCACCAGAAAUCCAAGAAUGUAAUCUAUGGCAAGGAAACAUAUGUGGGGUGAGGUUUAUGAGCCUCUAGUCGAUGAUAAAUGGCCACACAACCCCAUUUUUAUGAAAAUAGCCAUGAGCGACCUUGAAAAUAGCCAUGAGCGACCAUUUUCAAUAAUACUAGAGGCUAACACCUACGGAUUUUAGACCAAGAAAUGGUCUCCACCAGAAAUCCAAGAAUGUGAUCUAUGGCAAGGAAACAUAUGUGGGGUGAGGUGUAUGAGCGUCUGGUCGAUGAUCAAUGGCCACACAACCCCCAUUUUUGUCGAAAAUAGCCAUGAACGACCAUUUUCAAUAAUACCGAAGGCUAACACCUACGGAUUUUUGACCAAGAAAUGGUCUCCACCAGAAAUCCAAGAAUGUGAUCUAUGGCAAGGAAACAUAUGUGGGGUGAGGUGUAUGAGCCUCUAGUCGAUGAUCAAUGGCCACACAACCCCCAUUUUUGUCGAAAAUAGCCAUGAAUGACCAUUUUCAAAAAUACCAAAGGCUAACACGUACGGAUUUUUGACCAAGAAAUGGUCUCCACCAGAAAUCCAAGAAUGUGAUCUAUGGCAAGGAAACAUAUGUGGGGUGAGGUGUACGAGCCUCUGGUUGAUGAUCAAUGGCCACACAACCCCCAUUUUGCCGAAAAUAGCCAUGAAUGACCAUUUUCAAUAAUACCGAAGGCUAACACGUACGAGUUUUUAACCAAGAAAUGGUUUCCACCAGAAAUCCAAGAAUGUAAUCUAUGGCAAGGAAACAUAUGUGGGGUGAGGUUUAUGAGCCUCUAGUCGAUGAUAAAUGGCCACACAACCCCCAUUUUUUAUGAAAAUAGCCAUGAGCGACCUUGAAAAUAGCCAUGAGCGACCAUUUUCAAUAAUACUAGAGGCUAACACCUACGGAUUUUAGACCAAGAAAUGGUCUCCACCAGAAAUCCAAGAAUGUGAUCUAUGGCAAGGAAACAUAUGUGGGGUGAGGUGUAUGAGCGUCUGGUCGAUGAUCAAUGGCCACACAACCCCCAUUUUUGUCGAAAAUAGCCAUGAACGACCAUUUUCAAUAAUACCGAAGGCUAACACCUACGGAUUUUUGACCAAGAAAUGGUCUCCACCAGAAAUCCAAGAAUGUGAUCUAUGGCAAGGAAACAUAUGUGGGGUGAGGUGUAUGAGCCUCUGGUCGAUGAUCAAUGGCCACACAACCCAUUUUUGUCGAAAAUAGCCAUGAACGACCAUUUUCAAUGACACUAAGGCUAACACCUACGGAUUUUUGACCAAGAAAUGGUCUCCACCAGAAAUCCAAGAAUGUGAUCUAUGGCAAGGAAACAUAUGUGGGUGAGGUGUAUGAGCCUCUGGUCGAGAUCAAUGGCCACACAACCCCCAUUUUUGUCGAAAAUAGCCAUGAAUGACCAUUUUCAAAAAUACCAAAGGCUAACACGUACGGAUUUUUGACCAAGAAAUGGUCUCCACCAGAAAUCCAAGAAUGUGAUCUAUGGCAAGGAAACAUAUGUGGGGUGAGGUGUACGAGCCUCUGGUCGAUGAUGAAUGGCCACACAACCCCCAUUUUGCCGAAAAUAGCCAUGAACGACCAUUUUCAAUAAUACCGAAGGCUAACACGUACGAGUUUUUGACCAAGAAAUGGUCUCCACCAGAAAUCCAAGAAUGUGAUCUAUGGCAAGGAAACAUAUGUGGGGUGAGGUUUAUGAGCCUCUAGUCGAUGAUAAAUGGCCACACAACCCCCAUUUUUUAUGAAAAUAGCCAUGAGCGACCUUGAAAAUAGCCAUGAGCGACCAUUUUCAAUAAUACUAGAGGCUAACACCUACGGAUUUUAGACCAAGAAAUGGUCUCCACCAGAAAUCCAAGAAUGUGAUCUAUGGCAAGGAAACAUAUGUGGGUGUCGAAAAUAGCCAUGAACGACCAUUUUCAAUAAUACCGAAGGCUAACACCUACGGAUUUUUGACCAAGAAAUGGUCUCCACCAGAAAUCCAAGAAUGUGAUCUAUGGCAAGGAAACAUAUGUGGGGUGAGGUGUAUGAGCCUCUGGUCGAUGAUCAAUGGCCACACAACCCCCAUUUUUGUCGAAAAUAGCCAUGAACGACCAUUUUCAAUAAUACCGAAGGCUAACACCUACGGAUUUUUGACCAAGAAAUGGUCUCCACCAGAAAUCCAAGAAUGUGAUCUAUGGCAAGGAAACAUAUGUGGGGUGAGGUGUAUGAGCCUCUGGUCGAUGAUCAAUGGCCACACAACCCCCAUUUUUGUCGAAAAUAGCCAUGAAUGACCAUUUCAAUAAUACCGAAGGCUAACACCUACGGAUUUUUGACCAAGAAAUGGUCUCCACCAGAAAUCCAAGAAUGUGAUCUAUGGCAAGGAAACAUAUGUGGGGUGAGGUGUACGAGCCUCUGGUCGAUGAUCAAUGGCCACACAACCCCCAUUUUGCCGAAAAUAGCCAUGAACGACCAUUUUCAAUAAUACCGAAGGCUAACACGUACGAUUUUUGACCAAGAAAUGGUCUCCACCAGAAAUCCAAGAAUGUGAUCUAUGGCAAGGAAACAUAUGUGGGGUGAGGUGUAUGAGCGUCUGGUCGAUGAUCAAUGGCCACACAACCCCCAUUUUUGUCGAAAAUAGCCAUGAAUGACCAUUUUCAAUAAUACCGAAGGCUAACACCUACGGAUUUUUGACCAAGAAAUGGUCUCCACCAGAAAUCCAAGAAUGUGAUCUAUGGCAAGGAAACAUAUGUGGGGUGAGGUGUAUGAGCCUCUGUCGAUGAUCAAUGGCCACACAACCCCAUUUUUGUCGAAAAUAGCCAUGAACGACCAUUUUCAAUAACGAAGGCUAACACCUACGGAUUUUUGACCAAGAAAUGGUCUCCACCAAAAUCCAAGAAUGUGAUCUAUGGCAAGGAAACAUAUGUGGGGUGAGGUGUAUGAGCCUCUGGUCGAUGAUCAAUGGCCACACAACCCCCAUUUUUGUCGAAAAUAGCCAUGAAUGACCAUUUCAAUAAUACCGAAGGCUAACACCUACGGAUUUUUGACCAAGAAAUGGUCUCCACCAGAAAUCCAAGAAUGUGAUCUAUGGCAAGGAAACAUAUGUGGGGUGAGGUGUAUGAGCCUCUGGUCGAUGAUCAAUGGCCACACAACCCCCAUUUUUGUCGAAAAUAGCCAUGAACGACCAUUUUCAAUAAUACGAAGGCUAACACCUACGGAUUUUUGACCAAGAAAUGGUCUCCACCAGAAAUCCAAGAAUGUGAUCUAGACAAGGAAACAUAUGUGGGGUGAGGUGUAUGAGCCUCUGGUCGAGAUCAAUGGCCACACAACCCCCAUUUUGCCGAAAAUAGCCAUGAAUGACCAUUUUCAAUAAUACCGAAGGCUAACACGUACGAGUUUUUAACCAAGAAAUGGUCUCCACCAGAAAUCCAAGAAUGUAAUCUAUGGCAAGGAAACAUAUGUGGGGUGAGGUUUAUGAGCCUCUAGUCGAUGAUAAAUGGCCACACAACCCCCAUUUUUUAUGAAAAUAGCCAUGAGCGACCUUGAAAAUAGCCAUGAGCGACCAUUUUCAAUAAUACUAAAGGCUAACACCUACGGAUUUUAGACCAAGAAAUGGUCUCCACCAGAAAUCCAAGAAUGUGAUCUAUGGCAAGGAAACAUAUGUGGGGUGAGGUGUAUGAGCCUCUGGUCGAUGAUCAAUGGCCACACAACCCCCAUUUUUGUCGAAAAUAGCCAUGAACGACCAUUUUCAAUAAUACCGAAGGCUAACACCUACGGAUUUUUGACCAAGAAAUGGUCUCCACCAGAAAUCCAAGAAUGUGAUCUAUGGCAAGGAAACAUAUGUGGGGUGAGGUGUAUGAGCCUCUGGUCGACGAUCAAUGGCCACACAACCCUAAUUUUUGUCGAAAAUAGCCAUGAACGACCAUUUUCAAUGACACUGAAGGCUAACACCUACGGAUUUUUGACCAAGAAAUGGUCUCCACCAUAAAUCCAAGAAUGUGAUCUAUGGCAAGGAAACAUAUGUGUAGUGAGGUGUAUGAGCCUCUGGUCGAAGAUCAAUGGCCACACAACCCCCAUUUUUGUCGAAAAUAGCCAUGAAUGACCAUUUUCAAAAAUACCAAAGGCUAACACGUACGGAUUUUUGACCAAGAAAUGGUCUCCACCAGAAAUCCAAGAAUGUGAUCUAUGGCAAGGAAACAUAUGUGGGGUGAGGUGUACGAGCCUCUGGUCGAUGAUCAAUGGCCACACAACCCCCAUUUUGCCGAAAAUAGCCAUGAACGACCAUUUUCAAUAAUACCGAAGGCUAACACGUACGAGUUUUUAACCAAGAAAUGGUCUCCACCAGAAAUCCAAGAAUGUGAUCUAUGGCAAGGAAACAUAUGUGGGGUGAGGUUUAUGAGCCUCUAGUCGAUGAUAAAUGGCCACACAACCCCCAUUUUUUAUGAAAAUAGCCAUGAGCGACCUUGAAAAUAGCCAUGAGCGACCAUUUUCAAUAAUACUAGAGGCUAACACCUACGGAUUUUAGACCAAGAAAUGGUCUCCACCAGAAAUCCAAGAAUGUGAUCUAUGGCAAGGAAACAUAUGUGGGGUGAGGUGUAUGAGCGUCUGGUCGAUGAUCAAUGGCCACACAACCCCCAUUUUUGUCGAAAAUAGCCAUGAACGACCAUUUUCAAUAAUACCGAAGGCUAACACCUACGGAUUUUUGACCAAGAAAUGGUCUCCACCAGAAAUCCAAGAAUGUGAUCUAUGGCAAGGAAACAUAUGUGGGGUGAGGUGUAUGAGCCUCUGGUCGACGAUCAAUGGCCACACAACCCCAUUUUUGUCGAAAAUAGCCAUGAACGACCAUUUUCAAUAACUGAAGGCUAACACCUACGGAUUUUUGACCAAGAAAUGGUCUCCACCAAAAUCCAAGAAUGUGAUCUAUGACAAGGAAACAUAUGUGUAGUGAGGUGUAUGAGCCUCUGGUCGAAGAUCAAUGGCCACACAACCCCCAUUUUUGUCGAAAAUAGCCAUGAAUGACCAUUUUCAAAAUACCAAAGGCUAACACUACGGAUUUUUGACCAAGAAAUGGUCUCCACCAGAAAUCCAAGAAUGUGAUCUAUGGCAAGGAAACAUAUGUGGGGUGAGGUGUACGAGCCUCUGGUCGAUGAUCAAUGGCCACACAACCCCCAUUUUGCCGAAAAUAGCCAUGAACGACCAUUUUCAAUAAUACCGAAGGCUAACACGUACGAGUUUUUAACCAAGAAAUGGUCUCCACCAGAAAUCCAAGAAUGUGAUCUAUGGCAAGGAAACAUAUGUGGGGUGAGGUUUAUGAGCCUCUAGUCGAUGAUAAAUGGCCACACAACCCCCAUUUUUUAUGAAAAUAGCCAUGAGCGACCUUGAAAAUAGCCAUGAGCGACCAUUUUCAAUAAUACUAGAGGCUAACACCUACGGAUUUUAGACCAAGAAAUGGUCUCCACCAGAAAUCCAAGAAUGUGAUCUAUGGCAAGGAAACAUAUGUGGGGUGAGGUGUAUGAGCGUCUGGUCGAUGAUCAAUGGCCACACAACCCCCAUUUUUGUCGAAAAUAGCCAUGAACGACCAUUUUCAAUAAUACCGAAGGCUAACACCUACGGAUUUUUGACCAAGAAAUGGUCUCCACCAGAAAUCCAAGAAUGUGAUCUAUGGCAAGGAAACAUAUGUGGGGUGAGGUGUAUGAGCCUCUGGUCGAUGAUCAAUGGCCACACAACCCCAUUUUUGUCGAAAAUAGCCAUGAACGACCAUUUUCAAUAAUACGAAGGCUAACACCUACGGAUUUUUGACCAAGAAAUGGUCUCCACCAAAAUCCAAGAAUGUGAUCUAUGCAAGGAAACAUAUGUGGGUGAGGUGUAUGAGCCUCUGGUCGAAGAUCAAUGGCCACACAACCCCCAUUUUUGUCGAAAAUAGCCAUGAAUGACCAUUUUCAAAAUACCAAGGCUAACACUACGGAUUUUUGACCAAGAAAUGGUCUCCACCAGAAAUCCAAGAAUGUGAUCUAUGGCAAGGAAACAUAUGUGGGGUGAGGUGUACGAGCCUCUGGUCGAUGAUCAAUGGCCACACAACCCCCAUUUUGCCGAAAAUAGCCAUGAAUGACCAUUUUCAAUAAUACCGAAGGCUAACACGUACGAGUUUUUGACCAAGAAAUGGUCUCCACCAAAAUCCAAGAAUGUGAUCUAUGGCAAGGAAACAUAUGUGGGGUGAGGUUUAUGAGCCUCUAGUCGAUGAUAAAUGGCCACACAACCCCCAUUUUUUAUGAAAAUAGCCAUGAGCGACCAUUUUCAAUAAUAUAGAGGCUAAACCUACGGAUUUUUGACCAAGAAAUGGUCUCCACCAGAAAUCCAAGAAUGUGAUCUAUGGCAAGGAAACAUAUGUGGGGUGAGGUGUAUGAGCCUCUGGUCGAUGAUCAAUGGCCACACAACCCCAUUUUUGUCGAAAAUAGCCAUGAACGACCAUUUUCAAUAAUACCGAAGGCUAACACCUACGGAUUUUUGACCAAGAAAUGGUCUCCACCAGAAAUCCAAGAAUGUGAUCUAUGGCAAGGAAACAUAUGUGGGGUGAGGUGUAUGAGCCUCUGGUCGAUGAUCAAUGGCCACACAACCCCCAUUUUUGUCGAAAAUAGCCAUGAACGACCAUUUUCAAUAAUAUCGAAGGCUAACACCUACGGAUUUUUGACCAAGAAAUGGUCUCCACCAGAAAUCCAAGAAUGUGAUCUACGACAAGGAAACAUAUGUGGGUGAGGUGUAUGAGCCUCUGGUCGACGAUCAAUGGCCACACAACCCCCAUUUUGCCGAAAAUAGCCAUGAAUGACCAUUUUCAAUAAUACCGAAGGCUAACACGUACGAGUUUUUAACCAAGAAAUGGUUUCCACCAGAAAUCCAAGAAUGUAAUCUAUGGCAAGGAAACAUAUGUGGGGUGAGGUGUACGAGCCUCUGGUCGAUGAUCAAUGGCCACACAACCCCCAUUUUGCCGAAAAUAGCCAUGAACGACCAUUUUCAAUAAUACCGAAGGCUAACACGUACGAGUUUUUGACCAAGAAAUGGUCUCCACCAGAAAUCCAAGAAUGUGAUCUAUGGCAAGGAAACAUAUGUGGGGUGAGGUUAUGAGCCUCUAGUCGAUGAUAAAUGGCCACACAACCCCCAUUUUUUAUGAAAAUAGCCAUGAGCGACCAUUUUCAAUAAUACUAGAGGCUAACACCUACGGAUUUUUUACCAAGAAAUGGUCUCCACCAGAAAUCCAAGAAUGUGAUCUAUGGCAAGGAAACAUAUGUGGGGUGAGGUGUAUGAGCCUCUGGUCGAUGAUCAAUGGCCACACAACCCCCAUUUUUGUCGAAAAUAGCCAUGAACGACCAUUUUCAAUAAUACCGAAGGCUAACACCUACGGAUUUUUGACCAAGAAAUGGUCUCCACCAGAAAUCCAAGAAUGUGAUCUAUGGCAAGGAAACAUAUGUGGGGUGAGGUGUAUGAGCCUCUGGUCGAUGAUCAAUGGCCACACAACCCCCAUUUUUGUCGAAAAUAGCCAUGAACGACCAUUUUCAAUAAUACGAAGGCUAACACCUACGGAUUUUUGACCAAGAAAUGGUCUCCACCAGAAAUCCAAGAAUGUGAUCUAUGGCAAGGAAACAUAUGUGGGGUGAGGUGUAUGAGCCUCUGGUCGACGAUCAAUGGCCACACAACCCUAUUUUUGUCGAAAAUAGCCAUGAACGACCAUUUUCAAUGACACUGAAGGCUAACACCUACGGAUUUUUGACCAAGAAAUGGUCUCCACCAUAAAUCCAAGAAUGUGAUCUAUGGCAAGGAAACAUAUGUGUAGUGAGGUGUAUGAGCCUCUGGUCGAAGAUCAAUGGCCACACAACCCCCAUUUUUGUCGAAAAUAGCCAUGAAUGACCAUUUUCAAAAAUACCAAAGGCUAACACAUUCGGAUUUUUGCCCAAGAAAUGGUCUCCACCAGAAAUCCAAGAAUGUGAUCUAUGGCAAGGAAACAUAUGUGGGGUGAGGUGUACGAGCCUCUGGUCGAUGAUCAAUGGCCACAAACCCCCAUUUUGCCGAAAAUAGCCAUGAAUGACCAUUUUCAAUAAUACCGAAGGCUAACACGUACGAGUUUUUGACCAAGAAAUGGUCUCCACCAAAAAUCCAAGAAUGUGAUCUAUGGCAAGGAAACAUAUGAGGGGUGAGGUUUAUGAGCCUCUAGUCGAUGAUAAAUGGCCACACAACCCCCAUUUUUUAUGAAAAUAGCCAUGAGCGACCAUUUUCAAUAAUAUUAGAGGCUAAGACCUACGGAUUUUUGACCAAGAAAUGGUCUCCACCAGAAAUCUAAGAAUGUGAUCUAUGGCAAGGAAACAUAUGUGGGGUGAGGUGUAUGAGCCUCUGGUCGAUGAUCAAUGGCCACACAACCCCAUUGUUGUCGAAAAUAGCCAUGAAUGACCAUUUCAAUAAUACCGAAGGCUAACACCUACGGAUUUUUGACCAAGAAAUGGUCUCCACCAGAAAUCCAAGAAUGUGAUCUAUGGCAAGGAAACAUAUGUGGGGUGAGGUGUAUGAGCCUCUGGUCGAUGAUCAAUGGCCACACAACCCCCAUUUUUGUCGAAAAUGCCAUGAACGACCAUUUUCAAUAAUAUCGAAGGCUAACACCUACGGAUUUUUGACCAAGAAAUGGUCUCCACCAGAAAUCCAAGAAUGUGAUCUACGACAAGGAAACAUAUGUGGGGUGAGGUGUAUGAGCCUCUGGUCGACGAUCAAUGGCCACACAACCCCCAUUUUGCCGAAAAUAGCCAUGAAUGACCAUUUUCAAUAAUACCGAAGGCUAACACGUACGAGUUUUUAACCAAGAAAUGGUUCCACCAGAAAUCCAAGAAUGUAAUCUAUGGCAAGGAAACAUAUGUGGGGUGAGGUGUACGAGCCUCUGGUCGAUGAUCAAUGGCCACACAACCCCCAUUUUGCCGAAAAUAGCCAUGAACGACCAUUUUCAAUAAUACCGAAGGCUAACACGUACGAUUUUUGACCAAGAAAUGGUCUCCACCAAAAUCCAAGAAUGUGAUCUAUGGCAAGGAAACAUAUGUGGGGUGAGUUUAUGAGCCUCUAGUCGAUGAUAAAUGGCCACACAACCCCCAUUUUUUAUGAAAAUAGCCAUGAGCGACCAUUUUCAAUAAUAUAGAGGCUAACACCUACGGAUUUUUGACCAAGAAAUGGUCUCCACCAGAAAUCCAAGAAUGUGAUCUAUGGCAAGGAAACAUAUGUGGGGUGAGGUGUAUGAGCCUCUGGUCGAUGAUCAAUGGCCACACAACCCCCAUUUUUGUCGAAAAUAGCCAUGAAUGACCAUUUCAAUAAUACCGAAGGCUAACACCUACGGAUUUUUGACCAAGAAAUGGUCUCCACCAGAAAUCCAAGAAUGUGAUCUAUGGCAAGGAAACAUAUGUGGGGUGAGGUGUAUGAGCCUCUGGUCGAUGAUCAAUGGCCACACAACCCCCAUUUUUGUCGAAAAUAGCCAUGAACGACCAUUUUCAAUAAUACGAAGGCUAACACCUACGGAUUUUUGACCAAGAAAUGGUCUCCACCAGAAAUCCAAGAAUGUGAUCUACGACAAGGAAACAUAUGUGGGGUGAGGUGUAUGAGCCUCUGGUCGACGAUCAAUGGCCACACAACCCCCAUUUUGCCGAAAAUAGCCAUGAAUGACCAUUUUCAAUAAUACCGAAGGCUAACACGUACGAUUUUUAACCAAGAAAUGGUUCCACCAGAAAUCCAAGAAUGUAAUCUAUGGCAAGGAAACAUAUGUGGGGUGAGGUUUAUGAGCCUCUAGUCGAUGAUAAAUGGCCACACAACCCCCAUUUUUAUGAAAAUAGCCAUGACGAAAAUAGCCAUGAACGACCAUUUUCAAUAAUACUAGAGGCUAACACCUACGGAAUUUUGACCAAGAAAUGGUCUCCACCAGAAAUCCAAGAAUGUGAUCUAUGGCAAGGAAACAUAUGUGGGGUGAGGUGUAUGAGCCUCUGGUCGAUGAUCAAUGGCCACACAACCCCCAUUUUGUCGAAAAUAGCCAUGAAUGACCAUUUUCAAUAAUACCGAAGGCUAACACUACGAUUUUUGACCAAGAAAUGGUCUCCACCAGAAAUCCAAGAAUGUGAUCUAUGGCAAGGAAACAUAUGUGGGGUGAGGUGUAUGAGCCUCUGGUCGAUGAUCAAUGGCCACACAACCCCCAUUUUUGUCGAAAAUAGCCAUGAACGACCAUUUUCAAUAAUACUGAAGGCUAACACCUACGGAUUUUUGACCAAGAAAUGGUCUCCACCAGAAAUCCAAGAAUGUGAUCUAUGGCAAGGAAACAUAUGUGGGGUGAGGUGUAUGAGCCUCUGGUCGAUGAUCAAUGGCCACACAACCCCCAUUUUUGUCGAAAAUAGCCAUGAACGACCAUUUUCAAUAAUACGAAGGCUAACACCUACGGAUUUUUGACCAAGAAAUGGUCUCCACCAGAAAUCCAAGAAUGUGAUCUAUGGCAAGGAAACAUAUGUGGGGUGAGGUGUAUGAGCCUCUGGUCGAUGAUCAAUGGCCACACAACCCCAUUUUUGUCGAAAAUAGCCAUGAACGACCAUUUUCAAUAAUACGAAGGCUAACACCUACGGAUUUUUGACCAAGAAAUGGUCUCCACCAGAAAUCCAAGAAUGUGAUCUAUGGCAAGGAAACAUAUGUGGGGUGAGGUGUAUGAGCCUCUGGUCGAUGAUCAAUGGCCACACAACCCCCAUUUUUGUCGAAAAUAGCCAUGAAUGACCAUUUUCAAUAAUACCAAGGCUAACACUACGGAUUUUUGACCAAGAAAUGGUCUCCACCAGAAAUCCAAGAAUGUGAUCUAUGGCAAGGAAACAUAUGUGGGGUGAGGUGUAUGAGCCUCUGGUCGAUGAUCAAUGGCCACACAACCCCCAUUUUGCCGAAAAUAGCCAUGAACGACCAUUUUCAAUAAUACCGAAGGCUAACACGUACGAUUUUUGACCAAGAAAUGGUCUCCACCAGAAAUCCAAGAAUGUGAUCUAUGGCAAGGAAACAUAUGUGGGGUGAGGUGUAUGAGCCUCUGGUCGAUGAUCAAUGGCCACACAACCCCCAUUUUUGUCGAAAAUAGCCAUGAACGACCAUUUUCAAUAAUACGAAGGCUAACACCUACGGAUUUUUGACCAAGAAAUGGUCUCCACCAGAAAUCCAAGAAUGUGAUCUAUGGCAAGGAAACAUAUGUGGGGUGAGGUGUAUGAGCCUCUGGUCGAUGAUCAAUGGCCACACAACCCCCAUUUUUGUCGAAAAUAGCCAUGAACGACCAUUUUCAAUAAUACCGAAGGCUAACACCUACGGAUUUUUGACCAAGAAAUGGUCUCCACCAGAAAUCCAAGAAUGUGAUCUAUGGCAAGGAAACAUAUGUGGGGUGAGGUGUAUGAGCCUCUGGUCGAUGAUCAAUGGCCACACAACCCCAUUUUUGUCGAAAAUAGCCAUGAACGACCAUUUUCAAUAAUACGAAGGCUAACACCUACGGAUUUUUGACCAAGAAAUGGUCUCCACCAGAAAUCCAAGAAUGUGAUCUAUGGCAAGGAAACAUAUGUGGGGUGAGGUGUAUGAGCCUCUGGUCGAUGAUCAAUGGCCACACAACCCCCAUUUUUGUCGAAAAUAGCCAUGAAUGACCAUUUUCAAUAAUACCGAAGGCUAACACUACGGAUUUUUGACCAAGAAAUGGUCUCCACCAGAAAUCCAAGAAUGUGAUCUAUGGCAAGGAAACAUAUGUGGGGUGAGGUGUAUGAGCCUCUGGUCGAUGAUCAAUGGCCACACAACCCCCAUUUUGUCCGAAAAUAGCCAUGAACGACCAUUUUCAAUAAUACCGAAGGCUAACACUACGAUUUUUGACCAAGAAAUGGUCUCCACCAGAAAUCCAAGAAUGUGAUCUAUGGCAAGGAAACAUAUGUGGGGUGAGGUGUAUGAGCCUCUGGUCGAUGAUCAAUGGCCACACAACCCCCAUUUUUGUCGAAAAUAGCCAUGAACGACCAUUUUCAAUAAUACGAAGGCUAACACCUACGGAUUUUUGACCAAGAAAUGGUCUCCACCAGAAAUCCAAGAAUGUGAUCUAUGGCAAGGAAACAUAUGUGGGGUGAGGUGUAUGAGCCUCUGGUCGAUGAUCAAUGGCCACACAACCCCCAUUUUUGUCGAAAAUAGCCAUGAACGACCAUUUUCAAUAAUACCGAAGGCUAACACCUACGGAUUUUUGACCAAGAAAUGGUCUCCACCAGAAAUCCAAGAAUGUGAUCUAUGGCAAGGAAACAUAUGUGGGGUGAGGUGUAUGAGCCUCUGGUCGAUGAUCAAUGGCCACACAACCCCCAUUUUUGUCGAAAAUAGCCAUGAACGACCAUUUUCAAUAAUACGAAGGCUAACACCUACGGAUUUUUGACCAAGAAAUGGUCUCCACCAGAAAUCCAAGAAUGUGAUCUAUGGCAAGGAAACAUAUGUGGGGUGAGGUGUAUGAGCCUCUGGUCGAUGAUCAAUGGCCACACAACCCCCAUUUUGUCGAAAAUAGCCAUGAAUGACCAUUUUCAAUAAUACCGAAGGCUAACACGUACGAUUUUUGACCAAGAAAUGGUCUCCACCAGAAAUCCAAGAAUGUGAUCUAUGGCAAGGAAACAUAUGUGGGGUGAGGUGUAUGAGCCUCUGGUCGAUGAUCAAUGGCCACACAACCCCCAUUUUUGUCGAAAAUAGCCAUGAACGACCAUUUUCAAUAAUACGAAGGCUAACACCUACGGAUUUUUGACCAAGAAAUGGUCUCCACCAGAAAUCCAAGAAUGUGAUCUAUGGCAAGGAAACAUAUGUGGGGUGAGGUGUAUGAGCCUCUGGUCGAUGAUCAAUGGCCACACAACCCCCAUUUUUGUCGAAAAUAGCCAUGAACGACCAUUUUCAAUAAUACGAAGGCUAACACCUACGGAUUUUUGACCAAGAAAUGGUCUCCACCAGAAAUCCAAGAAUGUGAUCUAUGGCAAGGAAACAUAUGUGGGGUGAGGUGUAUGAGCCUCUGGUCGAUGAUCAAUGGCCACACAACCCCCAUUUUUGUCGAAAAUAGCCAUGAACGACCAUUUUCAAUAAUACGAAGGCUAACACCUACGGAUUUUUGACCAAGAAAUGGUCUCCACCAGAAAUCCAAGAAUGUGAUCUAUGGCAAGGAAACAUAUGUGGGGUGAGGUGUAUGAGCCUCUGGUCGAUGAUCAAUGGCCACACAACCCCCAUUUUUGUCGAAAAUAGCCAUGAACGACCAUUUUCAAUAAUACCGAAGGCUAACACUACGGAUUUUUGACCAAGAAAUGGUCUCCACCAGAAAUCCAAGAAUGUGAUCUAUGGCAAGGAAACAUAUGUGGGGUGAGGUGUAUGAGCCUCUGGUCGAUGAUCAAUGGCCACACAACCCCAUUUUUGUCGAAAAUAGCCAUGAACGACCAUUUUCAAUAAUACGAAGGCUAACACCUACGGAUUUUUGACCAAGAAAUGGUCUCCACCAGAAAUCCAAGAAUGUGAUCUAUGGCAAGGAAACAUAUGUGGGGUGAGGUGUAUGAGCCUCUGGUCGAUGAUCAAUGGCCACACAACCCCCAUUUUUGUCGAAAAUAGCCAUGAACGACCAUUUUCAAUAAUACCGAAGGCUAACACCUACGGAUUUUUGACCAAGAAAUGGUCUCCACCAGAAAUCCAAGAAUGUGAUCUAUGGCAAGGAAACAUAUGUGGGGUGAGGUGUAUGAGCCUCUGGUCGAUGAUCAAUGGCCACACAACCCCCAUUUUUGUCGAAAAUAGCCAUGAACGACCAUUUUCAAUAAUACGAAGGCUAACACCUACGGAUUUUUGACCAAGAAAUGGUCUCCACCAGAAAUCCAAGAAUGUGAUCUAUGGCAAGGAAACAUAUGUGGGGUGAGGUGUAUGAGCCUCUGGUCGAUGAUCAAUGGCCACACAACCCCCAUUUUUGUCGAAAAUAGCCAUGAACGACCAUUUUCAAUAAUACCGAAGGCUAACACCUACGGAUUUUUGACCAAGAAAUGGUCUCCACCAGAAAUCCAAGAAUGUGAUCUAUGGCAAGGAAACAUAUGUGGGGUGAGGUGUAUGAGCCUCUGGUCGAUGAUCAAUGGCCACACAACCCCCAUUUUUGUCGAAAAUAGCCAUGAACGACCAUUUUCAAUAAUACGAAGGCUAACACCUACGGAUUUUUGACCAAGAAAUGGUCUCCACCAGAAAUCCAAGAAUGUGAUCUAUGGCAAGGAAACAUAUGUGGGGUGAGGUGUAUGAGCCUCUGGUCGAUGAUCAAUGGCCACACAACCCCAUUUUUGUCGAAAAUAGCCAUGAACGACCAUUUUCAAUAAUACGAAGGCUAACACCUACGGAUUUUUGACCAAGAAAUGGUCUCCACCAGAAAUCCAAGAAUGUGAUCUAUGGCAAGGAAACAUAUGUGGGGUGAGGUGUAUGAGCCUCUGGUCGAUGAUCAAUGGCCACACAACCCCCAUUUUUGUCGAAAAUAGCCAUGAACGACCAUUUUCAAUAAUACCGAAGGCUAACACUACGGAUUUUUGACCAAGAAAUGGUCUCCACCAGAAAUCCAAGAAUGUGAUCUAUGGCAAGGAAACAUAUGUGGGGUGAGGUGUAUGAGCCUCUGGUCGAUGAUCAAUGGCCACACAACCCCCAUUUUUGUCGAAAAUAGCCAUGAACGACCAUUUUCAAUAAUACGAAGGCUAACACCUACGGAUUUUUGACCAAGAAAUGGUCUCCACCAGAAAUCCAAGAAUGUGAUCUAUGGCAAGGAAACAUAUGUGGGGUGAGGUGUAUGAGCCUCUGGUCGAUGAUCAAUGGCCACACAACCCCCAUUUUUGUCGAAAAUAGCCAUGAACGACCAUUUUCAAUAAUACCGAAGGCUAACACCUACGGAUUUUUGACCAAGAAAUGGUCUCCACCAGAAAUCCAAGAAUGUGAUCUAUGGCAAGGAAACAUAUGUGGGGUGAGGUGUAUGAGCCUCUGGUCGAUGAUCAAUGGCCACACAACCCCCAUUUUUGUCGAAAAUAGCCAUGAACGACCAUUUUCAAUAAUACGAAGGCUAACACCUACGGAUUUUUGACCAAGAAAUGGUCUCCACCAGAAAUCCAAGAAUGUGAUCUAUGGCAAGGAAACAUAUGUGGGGUGAGGUGUAUGAGCCUCUGGUCGAUGAUCAAUGGCCACACAACCCCCAUUUUUGUCGAAAAUAGCCAUGAACGACCAUUUUCAAUAAUACGAAGGCUAACACUACGGAUUUUUGACCAAGAAAUGGUCUCCACCAGAAAUCCAAGAAUGUGAUCUAUGGCAAGGAAACAUAUGUGGGGUGAGGUGUAUGAGCCUCUGGUCGAUGAUCAAUGGCCACACAACCCCCAUUUUUGUCGAAAAUAGCCAUGAACGACCAUUUUCAAUAAUACCGAAGGCUAACACCUACGGAUUUUUGACCAAGAAAUGGUCUCCACCAGAAAUCCAAGAAUGUGAUCUAUGGCAAGGAAACAUAUGUGGGGUGAGGUGUAUGAGCCUCUGGUCGAUGAUCAAUGGCCACACAACCCCCAUUUUUGUCGAAAAUAGCCAUGAACGACCAUUUUCAAUAAUACGAAGGCUAACACCUACGGAUUUUUGACCAAGAAAUGGUCUCCACCAGAAAUCCAAGAAUGUGAUCUAUGGCAAGGAAACAUAUGUGGGGUGAGGUGUAUGAGCCUCUGGUCGAUGAUCAAUGGCCACACAACCCCCAUUUUUGUCGAAAAUAGCCAUGAACGACCAUUUUCAAUAAUACCGAAGGCUAACACCUACGGAUUUUUGACCAAGAAAUGGUCUCCACCAGAAAUCCAAGAAUGUGAUCUAUGGCAAGGAAACAUAUGUGGGGUGAGGUGUAUGAGCCUCUGGUCGAUGAUCAAUGGCCACACAACCCCCAUUUUUGUCGAAAAUAGCCAUGAACGACCAUUUUCAAUAAUAUCGAAGGCUAACACCUACGGAUUUUUGACCAAGAAAUGGUCUCCACCAGAAAUCCAAGAAUGUGAUCUAUGGCAAGGAAACAUAUGUGGGGUGAGGUGUAUGAGCCUCUGGUCGAUGAUCAAUGGCCACACAACCCCCAUUUUGCCGAAAAUAGCCAUGAAUGACCAUUUUCAAUAAUACCGAAGGCUAACACCUACGAAUUUUUGACCAAGAAAUGGUCUCCACCAGAAAUCCAAGAAUGUGAUCUAUGGCAAGGAAACAUAUGUGGGGUGAGGUGUAUGAGCCUCUGGUCGAUGAUCAAUGGCCACACAACCCCCAUUUUUGUCGAAAAUAGCCAUGAACGACCAUUUUCAAUAAUACCGAAGGCUAACACCUACGGAUUUUUGACCAAGAAAUGGUCUCCACCAGAAAUCCAAGAAUGUGAUCUAUGGCAAGGAAACAUAUGUGGGGUGAGGUGUAUGAGCCUCUGGUCGAUGAUCAAUGGCCACACAACCCCAUUUUUGUCGAAAAUAGCCAUGAACGACCAUUUUCAAUAAUACGAAGGCUAACACCUACGGAUUUUUGACCAAGAAAUGGUCUCCACCAGAAAUCCAAGAAUGUGAUCUAUGGCAAGGAAACAUAUGUGGGGUGAGGUGUAUGAGCCUCUGGUCGAUGAUCAAUGGCCACACAACCCCCAUUUUUGUCGAAAAUAGCCAUGAACGACCAUUUUCAAUAAUACCGAAGGCUAACACCUACGGAUUUUUGACCAAGAAAUGGUCUCCACCAGAAAUCCAAGAAUGUGAUCUAUGGCAAGGAAACAUAUGUGGGGUGAGGUGUAUGAGCCUCUGGUCGAUGAUCAAUGGCCACACAACCCCAUUUUUGCGAAAAUAGCCAUGAAUGACCAUUUUCAAUAAUACCGAAGGCUAACACUACGGAUUUUUACCAAGAAAUGGUCUCCACCAGAAAUCCAAGAAUGUGAUCUAUGGCAAGGAAACAUAUGUGGGGUGAGGUGUAUGAGCCUCUGGUCGAUGAUCAAUGGCCACACAACCCCCAUUUUUGAAAUAGCCUGAAAAUAGCCAUGACGACCAUUUUCAAUAAUACGAAGGCUAACACCUACGGAUUUUUGACCAAGAAAUGGUCUCCACCAGAAAUCCAAGAAUGUGAUCUAUGGCAAGGAAACAUAUGUGGGGUGAGGUGUAUGAGCCUCUGGUCGAUGAUCAAUGGCCACACAACCCCCAUUUUUGUCGAAAAUAGCCAUGAACGACCAUUUUCAAUAAUACGAAGGCUAACACCUACGGAUUUUGACCAAGAAAUGGUCUCCACCAGAAAUCCAAGAAUGUGAUCUAUGGCAAGGAAACAUAUGUGGGGUGAGGUGUAUGAGCCUCUGGUCGAUGAUCAAUGGCCACACAACCCCCAUUUUUGUCGAAAAUAGCCAUGAACGACCAUUUUCAAUAAUACGAAGGCUAACACCUACGGAUUUUUGACCAAGAAAUGGUCUCCACCAGAAAUCCAAGAAUGUGAUCUAUGGCAAGGAAACAUAUGUGGGGUGAGGUGUAUGAGCCUCUGGUCGAUGAUCAAUGGCCACACAACCCCCAUUUUGUCGAAAAUAGCCAUGAACGACCAUUUUCAAUAAUACCGAAGGCUAACACCUACGGAUUUUUGACCAAGAAAUGGUCUCCACCAGAAAUCCAAGAAUGUGAUCUAUGGCAAGGAAACAUAUGUGGGGUGAGGUGUAUGAGCCUCUGGUCGAUGAUCAAUGGCCACACAACCCCCAUUUUUGUCGAAAAUAGCCAUGAACGACCAUUUUCAAUAAUACGAAGGCUAACACCUACGGAUUUUUGACCAAGAAAUGGUCUCCACCAGAAAUCCAAGAAUGUGAUCUAUGGCAAGGAAACAUAUGUGGGGUGAGGUGUAUGAGCCUCUGGUCGAUGAUCAAUGGCCACACAACCCCCAUUUUUGUCGAAAAUAGCCAUGAACGACCAUUUUCAAUAAUACCGAAGGCUAACACCUACGGAUUUUUGACCAAGAAAUGGUCUCCACCAGAAAUCCAAGAAUGUGAUCUAUGGCAAGGAAACAUAUGUGGGGUGAGGUGUAUGAGCCUCUGGUCGAUGAUCAAUGGCCACACAACCCCCAUUUUUGUCGAAAAUAGCCAUGAACGACCAUUUUCAAUAAUACGAAGGCUAACACCUACGGAUUUUUGACCAAGAAAUGGUCUCCACCAGAAAUCCAAGAAUGUGAUCUAUGGCAAGGAAACAUAUGUGGGGUGAGGUGUAUGAGCCUCUGGUCGAUGAUCAAUGGCCACACAACCCCCAUUUUUGUCGAAAAUAGCCAUGAACGACCAUUUUCAAUAAUACGAAGGCUAACACCUACGGAUUUUUGACCAAGAAAUGGUCUCCACCAGAAAUCCAAGAAUGUGAUCUAUGGCAAGGAAACAUAUGUGGGGUGAGGUGUAUGAGCCUCUGGUCGAUGAUCAAUGGCCACACAACCCCCAUUUUUGUCGAAAAUAGCCAUGAACGACCAUUUUCAAUAAUACGAAGGCUAACACCUACGGAUUUUUGACCAAGAAAUGGUCUCCACCAGAAAUCCAAGAAUGUGAUCUAUGGCAAGGAAACAUAUGUGGGGUGAGGUGUAUGAGCCUCUGGUCGAUGAUCAAUGGCCACACAACCCCCAUUUUUGUCGAAAAUAGCCAUGAAUGACCAUUUUCAAUAAUACGAAGGCUAACACCUACGGAUUUUUGACCAAGAAAUGGUCUCCACCAGAAAUCCAAGAAUGUGAUCUAUGGCAAGGAAACAUAUGUGGGGUGAGGUGUAUGAGCCUCUGGUCGAUGAUCAAUGGCCACACAACCCCCAUUUUGUCGAAAAUAGCCAUGAACGACCAUUUUCAAUAAUACCGAAGGCUAACACUACGGAUUUUUAACCAAGAAAUGGUCUCCACCAGAAAUCCAAGAAUGUGAUCUAUGGCAAGGAAACAUAUGUGGGGUGAGGUGUAUGAGCCUCUGGUCGAUGAUCAAUGGCCACACAACCCCCAUUUUUGUCGAAAAUAGCCAUGAACGACCAUUUUCAAUAAUACGAAGGCUAACACCUACGGAUUUUUGACCAAGAAAUGGUCUCCACCAGAAAUCCAAGAAUGUGAUCUAUGGCAAGGAAACAUAUGUGGGGUGAGGUGUAUGAGCCUCUGGUCGAUGAUCAAUGGCCACACAACCCCCAUUUUUGUCGAAAAUAGCCAUGAACGACCAUUUUCAAUAAUACCGAAGGCUAACACCUACGGAUUUUUGACCAAGAAAUGGUCUCCACCAGAAAUCCAAGAAUGUGAUCUAUGGCAAGGAAACAUAUGUGGGGUGAGGUGUAUGAGCCUCUGGUCGAUGAUCAAUGGCCACACAACCCCAUUUUUGUCGAAAAUAGCCAUGAACGACCAUUUUCAAUAAUACCGAAGGCUAACACCUACGGAUUUUUGACCAAGAAAUGGUCUCCACCAGAAAUCCAAGAAUGUGAUCUAUGGCAAGGAAACAUAUGUGGGGUGAGGUGUAUGAGCCUCUGGUCGAUGAUCAAUGGCCACACAACCCCCAUUUUUGUCGAAAAUAGCCAUGAAUGACCAUUUUCAAUAAUACGAAGGCUAACACCUACGGAUUUUUGACCAAGAAAUGGUCUCCACCAGAAAUCCAAGAAUGUGAUCUAUGGCAAGGAAACAUAUGUGGGGUGAGGUGUAUGAGCCUCUGGUCGAUGAUCAAUGGCCACACAACCCCCAUUUUUGUCGAAAAUAGCCAUGAACGACCAUUUUCAAUAAUACCGAAGGCUAACACCUACGGAUUUUUGACCAAGAAAUGGUCUCCACCAGAAAUCCAAGAAUGUGAUCUAUGGCAAGGAAACAUAUGUGGGGUGAGGUGUAUGAGCCUCUGGUCGAUGAUCAAUGGCCACACAACCCCCAUUUUUGUCGAAAAUAGCCAUGAACGACCAUUUUCAAUAAUACGAAGGCUAACACCUACGGAUUUUUGACCAAGAAAUGGUCUCCACCAGAAAUCCAAGAAUGUGAUCUAUGGCAAGGAAACAUAUGUGGGGUGAGGUGUAUGAGCCUCUGGUCGAUGAUCAAUGGCCACACAACCCCCAUUUUUGUCGAAAAUAGCCAUGAACGACCAUUUUCAAUAAUACGAAGGCUAACACCUACGGAUUUUUGACCAAGAAAUGGUCUCCACCAGAAAUCCAAGAAUGUGAUCUAUGGCAAGGAAACAUAUGUGGGGUGAGGUGUAUGAGCCUCUGGUCGAUGAUCAAUGGCCACACAACCCCCAUUUUUGUCGAAAAUAGCCAUGAAGACCAUUUUCAAUAAUACCGAAGGCUAACACCUACGGAUUUUUGACCAAGAAAUGGUCUCCACCAGAAAUCCAAGAAUGUGAUCUAUGGCAAGGAAACAUAUGUGGGGUGAGGUGUAUGAGCCUCUGGUCGAUGAUCAAUGGCCACACAACCCCCAUUUUGUCGAAAAUAGCCAUGAACGACCAUUUUCAAUAAUACGAAGGCUAACACCUACGGAUUUUUGACCAAGAAAUGGUCUCCACCAGAAAUCCAAGAAUGUGAUCUAUGGCAAGGAAACAUAUGUGGGGUGAGGUGUAUGAGCCUCUGGUCGAUGAUCAAUGGCCACACAACCCCCAUUUUUGUCGAAAAUAGCCAUGAACGACCAUUUUCAAUAAUACGAAGGCUAACACCUACGGAUUUUUGACCAAGAAAUGGUCUCCACCAGAAAUCCAAGAAUGUGAUCUAUGGCAAGGAAACAUAUGUGGGGUGAGGUGUAUGAGCCUCUGGUCGAUGAUCAAUGGCCACACAACCCCCAUUUUUGUCGAAAAUAGCCAUGAAUGACCAUUUUCAAUAAUACCGAAGGCUAACACCUACGGAUUUUUGACCAAGAAAUGGUCUCCACCAGAAAUCCAAGAAUGUGAUCUAUGGCAAGGAAACAUAUGUGGGGUGAGGUGUAUGAGCCUCUGGUCGAUGAUCAAUGGCCACACAACCCCCAUUUUUGUCGAAAAUAGCCAUGAAUGACCAUUUUCAAUAAUACCGAAGGCUAACACUACGGAUUUUUGACCAAGAAAUGGUCUCCACCAGAAAUCCAAGAAUGUGAUCUAUGGCAAGGAAACAUAUGUGGGGUGAGGUGUAUGAGCCUCUGGUCGAUGAUCAAUGGCCACACAACCCCCAUUUUUGUCGAAAAUAGCCAUGAACGACCAUUUUCAAUAAUACGAAGGCUAACACCUACGGAUUUUUGACCAAGAAAUGGUCUCCACCAGAAAUCCAAGAAUGUGAUCUAUGGCAAGGAAACAUAUGUGGGGUGAGGUGUAUGAGCCUCUGGUCGAUGAUCAAUGGCCACACAACCCCCAUUUUUGUCGAAAAUAGCCAUGAACGACCAUUUUCAAUAAUACGAAGGCUAACACCUACGGAUUUUUGACCAAGAAAUGGUCUCCACCAGAAAUCCAAGAAUGUGAUCUAUGGCAAGGAAACAUAUGUGGGGUGAGGUGUAUGAGCCUCUGGUCGAUGAUCAAUGGCCACACAACCCCCAUUUUUGUCGAAAAUAGCCAUGAAUGACCAUUUUCAAUAAUACGAAGGCUAACACCUACGGAUUUUUGACCAAGAAAUGGUCUCCACCAGAAAUCCAAGAAUGUGAUCUAUGGCAAGGAAACAUAUGUGGGGUGAGGUGUAUGAGCCUCUGGUCGAUGAUCAAUGGCCACACAACCCCCAUUUUGUCGAAAAUAGCCAUGAAUGACCAUUUUCAAUAAUACGAAGGCUAACACCUACGGAUUUUUGACCAAGAAAUGGUCUCCACCAGAAAUCCAAGAAUGUGAUCUAUGGCAAGGAAACAUAUGUGGGGUGAGGUGUAUGAGCCUCUGGUCGAUGAUCAAUGGCCACACAACCCCCAUUUUUGUCGAAAAUAGCCAUGAACGACCAUUUUCAAUAAUACGAAGGCUAACACCUACGGAUUUUUGACCAAGAAAUGGUCUCCACCAGAAAUCCAAGAAUGUGAUCUAUGGCAAGGAAACAUAUGUGGGGUGAGGUGUAUGAGCCUCUGGUCGAUGAUCAAUGGCCACACAACCCCAUUUUUGUCGAAAAUAGCCAUGAACGACCAUUUUCAAUAAUACGAAGGCUAACACCUACGGAUUUUUGACCAAGAAAUGGUCUCCACCAGAAAUCCAAGAAUGUGAUCUAUGGCAAGGAAACAUAUGUGGGGUGAGGUGUAUGAGCCUCUGGUCGAUGAUCAAUGGCCACACAACCCCCAUUUUGUCGAAAAUAGCCAUGAAUGACCAUUUUCAAUAAUACCGAAGGCUAACACCUACGGAUUUUUGACCAAGAAAUGGUCUCCACCAGAAAUCCAAGAAUGUGAUCUAUGGCAAGGAAACAUAUGUGGGGUGAGGUGUAUGAGCCUCUGGUCGAUGAUCAAUGGCCACACAACCCCAUUUUGUCGAAAAUAGCCAUGAACGACCAUUUUCAAUAAUACGAAGGCUAACACUACGAUUUUUGACCAAGAAAUGGUCUCCACCAGAAAUCCAAGAAUGUGAUCUAUGGCAAGGAAACAUAUGUGGGGUGAGGUGUAUGAGCCUCUGGUCGAUGAUCAAUGGCCACACAACCCCAUUUUUGUCGAAAAUAGCCAUGAACGACCAUUUUCAAUAAUACGAAGGCUAACACCUACGGAUUUUUGACCAAGAAAUGGUCUCCACCAGAAAUCCAAGAAUGUGAUCUAUGGCAAGGAAACAUAUGUGGGGUGAGGUGUAUGAGCCUCUGGUCGAUGAUCAAUGGCCACACAACCCCCAUUUUUGUCGAAAAUAGCCAUGAACGACCAUUUUCAAUAAUACGAAGGCUAACACCUACGGAUUUUUGACCAAGAAAUGGUCUCCACCAGAAAUCCAAGAAUGUGAUCUAUGGCAAGGAAACAUAUGUGGGGUGAGGUGUAUGAGCCUCUGGUCGAUGAUCAAUGGCCACACAACCCCAUUUUUGUCGAAAAUAGCCAUGAACGACCAUUUUCAAUAAUACGAAGGCUAACACUACGGAUUUUUAACCAAGAAAUGGUCUCCACCAGAAAUCCAAGAAUGUGAUCUAUGGCAAGGAAACAUAUGUGGGGUGAGGUGUAUGAGCCUCUGGUCGAUGAUCAAUGGCCACACAACCCCCAUUUUUGUCGAAAAUAGCCAUGAACGACCAUUUUCAAUAAUACGAAGGCUAACACCUACGGAUUUUUGACCAAGAAAUGGUCUCCACCAGAAAUCCAAGAAUGUGAUCUAUGGCAAGGAAACAUAUGUGGGGUGAGGUGUAUGAGCCUCUGGUCGAUGAUCAAUGGCCACACAACCCCCAUUUUUGUCGAAAAUAGCCAUGAACGACCAUUUUCAAUAAUACCGAAGGCUAACACCUACGGAUUUUUGACCAAGAAAUGGUCUCCACCAGAAAUCCAAGAAUGUGAUCUAUGGCAAGGAAACAUAUGUGGGGUGAGGUGUAUGAGCCUCUGGUCGAUGAUCAAUGGCCACACAACCCCCAUUUUUGUCGAAAAUAGCCAUGAACGACCAUUUUCAAUAAUACGAAGGCUAACACCUACGGAUUUUUGACCAAGAAAUGGUCUCCACCAGAAAUCCAAGAAUGUGAUCUAUGGCAAGGAAACAUAUGUGGGGUGAGGUGUAUGAGCCUCUGGUCGAUGAUCAAUGGCCACACAACCCCCAUUUUGCCGAAAAUAGCCAUGAAGACCAUUUUCAAUAAUACGAAGGCUAACACUACGGAUUUUUGACCAAGAAAUGGUCUCCACCAGAAAUCCAAGAAUGUGAUCUAUGGCAAGGAAACAUAUGUGGGGUGAGGUGUAUGAGCCUCUGGUCGAUGAUCAAUGGCCACACAACCCCCAUUUUUGUCGAAAAUAGCCAUGAACGACCAUUUUCAAUAAUACGAAGGCUAACACCUACGGAUUUUUGACCAAGAAAUGGUCUCCACCAGAAAUCCAAGAAUGUGAUCUAUGGCAAGGAAACAUAUGUGGGGUGAGGUGUAUGAGCCUCUGGUCGAUGAUCAAUGGCCACACAACCCCCAUUUUUGUCGAAAAUAGCCAUGAACGACCAUUUUCAAUAAUACGAAGGCUAACACCUACGGAUUUUUGACCAAGAAAUGGUCUCCACCAGAAAUCCAAGAAUGUGAUCUAUGGCAAGGAAACAUAUGUGGGGUGAGGUGUAUGAGCCUCUGGUCGAUGAUCAAUGGCCACACAACCCCAUUUUUGUCGAAAAUAGCCAUGAACGACCAUUUUCAAUAAUACGAAGGCUAACACCUACGGAUUUUUGACCAAGAAAUGGUCUCCACCAGAAAUCCAAGAAUGUGAUCUAUGGCAAGGAAACAUAUGUGGGGUGAGGUGUAUGAGCCUCUGGUCGAUGAUCAAUGGCCACACAACCCCAUUUUGUCGAAAAUAGCCAUGAAGACCAUUUUCAAUAAUACGAAGGCUAACACCUACGGAUUUUUGACCAAGAAAUGGUCUCCACCAGAAAUCCAAGAAUGUGAUCUAUGGCAAGGAAACAUAUGUGGGGUGAGGUGUAUGAGCCUCUGGUCGAUGAUCAAUGGCCACACAACCCCCAUUUUUGUCGAAAAUAGCCAUGAAUGACCAUUUUCAAUAAUACGAAGGCUAACACCUACGGAUUUUUGACCAAGAAAUGGUCUCCACCAGAAAUCCAAGAAUGUGAUCUAUGGCAAGGAAACAUAUGUGGGGUGAGGUGUAUGAGCCUCUGGUCGAUGAUCAAUGGCCACACAACCCCAUUUUUGUCGAAAAUAGCCAUGAACGACCAUUUUCAAUAAUACCGAAGGCUAACACCUACGGAUUUUUGACCAAGAAAUGGUCUCCACCAGAAAUCCAAGAAUGUGAUCUAUGGCAAGGAAACAUAUGUGGGGUGAGGUGUAUGAGCCUCUGGUCGAUGAUCAAUGGCCACACAACCCCCAUUUUUGUCGAAAAUAGCCAUGAACGACCAUUUUCAAUAAUACGAAGGCUAACACCUACGGAUUUUUGACCAAGAAAUGGUCUCCACCAGAAAUCCAAGAAUGUGAUCUAUGGCAAGGAAACAUAUGUGGGGUGAGGUGUAUGAGCCUCUGGUCGAUGAUCAAUGGCCACACAACCCCAUUUUGUCGAAAAUAGCCAUGAACGACCAUUUUCAAUAAUACGAAGGCUAACACCUACGGAUUUUUGACCAAGAAAUGGUCUCCACCAGAAAUCCAAGAAUGUGAUCUAUGGCAAGGAAACAUAUGUGGGGUGAGGUGUAUGAGCCUCUGGUCGAUGAUCAAUGGCCACACAACCCCCAUUUUUGUCGAAAAUAGCCAUGAAGACCAUUUUCAAUAAUACGAAGGCUAACACCUACGGAUUUUUGACCAAGAAAUGGUCUCCACCAGAAAUCCAAGAAUGUGAUCUAUGGCAAGGAAACAUAUGUGGGGUGAGGUGUAUGAGCCUCUGGUCGAUGAUCAAUGGCCACACAACCCCAUUUUUGUCGAAAAUAGCCAUGAACGACCAUUUUCAAUAAUACGAAGGCUAACACCUACGGAUUUUUGACCAAGAAAUGGUCUCCACCAGAAAUCCAAGAAUGUGAUCUAUGGCAAGGAAACAUAUGUGGGGUGAGGUGUAUGAGCCUCUGGUCGAUGAUCAAUGGCCACACAACCCCAUUUUUGUCGAAAAUAGCCAUGAACGACCAUUUUCAAUAAUACGAAGGCUAACACCUACGGAUUUUUGACCAAGAAAUGGUCUCCACCAGAAAUCCAAGAAUGUGAUCUAUGGCAAGGAAACAUAUGUGGGGUGAGGUGUAUGAGCCUCUGGUCGAUGAUCAAUGGCCACACAACCCCAUUUUUGUCGAAAAUAGCCAUGAAUGACCAUUUUCAAUAAUACGAAGGCUAACACUACGGAUUUUUGACCAAGAAAUGGUCUCCACCAGAAAUCCAAGAAUGUGAUCUAUGGCAAGGAAACAUAUGUGGGGUGAGGUGUAUGAGCCUCUGGUCGAUGAUCAAUGGCCACACAACCCCAUUUUUGUCGAAAAUAGCCAUGAAGACCAUUUUCAAUAAUACGAAGGCUAACACUACGGAUUUUGACCAAGAAAUGGUCUCCACCAGAAAUCCAAGAAUGUGAUCUAUGGCAAGGAAACAUAUGUGGGGUGAGGUGUAUGAGCUCUGGUCGAUGAUCAAUGGCCACACAACCCCAUUUUUGUCGAAAAUAGCCAUGAACGACCAUUUUCAAUAAUACGAAGGCUAACACCUACGGAUUUUUGACCAAGAAAUGGUCUCCACCAGAAAUCCAAGAAUGUGAUCUAUGGCAAGGAAACAUAUGUGGGUGAGGUGUAUGAGCCUCUGGUCGAUGAUCAAUGGCCACACAACCCCAUUUUGUCGAAAAUAGCCAUGAAGACCAUUUUCAAUAAUACGAAGGCUAACACUACGGAUUUUUGACCAAGAAAUGGUCUCCACCAGAAAUCCAAGAAUGUGAUCUAUGGCAAGGAAACAUAUGUGGGGUGAGGUGUAUGAGCCUCUGGUCGAUGAUCAAUGGCCACACAACCCCCAUUUUGCGAAAAUAGCCAUGAAGACCAUUUUCAAUAAUACGAAGGCUAACACUACGAUUUUUGACCAAGAAAUGGUCUCCACCAGAAAUCCAAGAAUGUGAUCUAUGGCAAGGAAACAUAUGUGGGGUGAGGUGUAUGAGCCUCUGGUCGAUGAUCAAUGGCCACACAACCCCAUUUUGUCGAAAAUAGCCAUGAAGACCAUUUUCAAUAAUACGAAGGCUAACAUCGCUACGGAUUUUAUGACCAAGAAAUGGUGUCCAUUGAUCAUCGACCAGAGCUCAUACACCUCACCCACAUAUGUUUCCUUGCAUAGAUCACAUUCUUGGAUUUCUGGUGGAGACCAUUUCUUGGUCAAAAUCGUAGUGUUAGCCUUCGUAUUAUUGAAAAUGGUCUUCAUGGCUAUUUUCGACAAAAAUGGGGUUGUGUGGCCAUUGAUCAUCGACCAGAGGCUCAUACACCUCACCCCACAUAUGUUUCCUUGCCAUAGAUCACAUUCUUGGAUUUCUGGUGGAGACCAUUUCUUGGUCAAAAAUCCGUAGGUGUUAGCCUUCGUAUUAUUGAAAAUGGUCAUUCAUGGCUAUUUUCGACAAAAAUGGGGGUUGUGUGGCCAUUGAUCAUCGACCAGAGGCUCAUACACCUCACCCCACAUAUGUUUCCUUGCCAUAGAUCACAUUCUUGGAUUUCUGGUGGAGACCAUUUCUUGGUAAAAAUCGUAGUGUUAGCCUUCGUAUUAUUGAAAAUGGUCUUCAUGGCUAUUUUCGACAAAAUGGGGUUGUGUGGCCAUUGAUCAUCGACAGAGCUCAUAACUCACCCACAUAUGUUUCUUGCAUAGAUCACAUUCUUGAUUUUGGUGGACCAUUUCUUGUAAAAUCGUAGUGUUAGCCUUGUAUUAUUGAAAUGGUCUUCAUGGCUAUUUUCGACAAAAUGGGGUUGUGUGGCCAUUGAUCAUCGACCAGAGCUCAUACACCUCACCCCACAUAUGUUUCCUUGCCAUAGAUCACAUUCUUGGAUUUCUGGUGGAGACCAUUUCUUGGUCAAAAAUCCGUAGGUGUUAGCCUUCGUAUUAUUGAAAAUGGUCGUUCAUGGCUAUUUUCGACAAAAAUGGGGGUUGUGUGGCCAUUGAUCAUCGACCAGAGGCUCAUACACCUCACCCCACAUAUGUUUCCUUGCCAUAGAUCACAUUCUUGGAUUUCUGGUGGAGACCAUUUCUUGGUCAAAAAUCCGUAGUGUUAGCCUUCGUAUUAUUGAAAAUGGUCUUCAUGGCUAUUUUCGACAAAAUGGGGGUUGUGUGGCCAUUGAUCAUCGACCAGAGGCUCAUACACCUCACCCCACAUAUGUUUCCUUGCCAUAGAUCACAUUCUUGGAUUUCUGGUGGAGACCAUUUCUUGGUCAAAAAUCCGUAGUGUUAGCCUUCGUAUUAUUGAAAAUGGUCGUUCAUGGCUAUUUUCGACAAAAUGGGGGUUGUGUGGCCAUUGAUCAUCGACCAGAGGCUCAUACACCUCACCCCACAUAUGUUUCCUUGCCAUAGAUCACAUUCUUGGAUUUCUGGUGGAGACCAUUUCUUGGUCAAAAUCCGUAGGUGUUAGCCUUCGUAUUAUUGAAAAUGGUCGUUCAUGGCUAUUUUCGCAAAAUGGGGUUGUGUGGCCAUUGAUCAUCGACCAGAGCUCAUACACCUCACCCCACAUAUGUUUCCUUGCCAUAGAUCACAUUCUUGGAUUUCUGGUGGAGACCAUUUCUUGGUCAAAAUCCGUAGUGUUAGCCUUCGUAUUAUUGAAAUGGUCUUCAUGGCUAUUUUCGCAAAAUGGGGGUUGUGUGGCCAUUGAUCAUCGACCAGAGCUCAUACACCUCACCCCACAUAUGUUUCCUUGCCAUAGAUCACAUUCUUGGAUUUCUGGUGGAGACCAUUUCUUGGUCAAAAAUCCGUAGGUGUUAGCCUUCGUAUUAUUGAAAAUGGUCGUUCAUGGCUAUUUUCGACAAAAAUGGGGGUUGUGUGGCCAUUGAUCAUCGACCAGAGGCUCAUACACCUCACCCCACAUAUGUUUCCUUGCCAUAGAUCACAUUCUUGGAUUUCUGGUGGAGACCAUUUCUUGGUCAAAAAUCCGUAGGUGUUAGCCUUCGUAUUAUUGAAAAUGGUCGUUCAUGGCUAUUUUCGACAAAAAUGGGGUUGUGUGGCCAUUGAUCAUCGACCAGAGGCUCAUACACCUCACCCCACAUAUGUUUCCUUGCCAUAGAUCACAUUCUUGGAUUUCUGGUGGAGACCAUUUCUUGGUCAAAAAUCCGUAGGUGUUAGCCUUCGGUAUUAUUGAAAAUGGUCUUCAUGGCUAUUUUCGCAAAAUGGGGGUUGUGUGGCCAUUGAUCAUCGACCAGAGGCUCAUACACCUCACCCCACAUAUGUUUCCUUGCCAUAGAUCACAUUCUUGGAUUUCUGGUGGAGACCAUUUCUUGGUCAAAAAUCCGUAGUGUUAGCCUUCGUAUUAUUGAAAAUGGUCUUCAUGGCUAUUUUCGACAAAAAUGGGGGUUGUGUGGCCAUUGAUCAUCGACCAGAGGCUCAUACACCUCACCCCACAUAUGUUUCCUUGCCAUAGAUCACAUUCUUGGAUUUCUGGUGGAGACCAUUUCUUGGUCAAAAAUCCGUAGGUGUUAGCCUUCGUAUUAUUGAAAAUGGUCGUUCAUGGCUAUUUUCGACAAAAAUGGGGUUGUGUGGCCAUUGAUCAUCGACCAGAGGCUCAUACACCUCACCCCACAUAUGUUUCCUUGCCAUAGAUCACAUUCUUGGAUUUCUGGUGGAGACCAUUUCUUGGUCAAAAAUCCGUAGGUGUUAGCCUUCGUAUUAUUGAAAAUGGUCGUUCAUGGCUAUUUUCGACAAAAUGGGGGUUGUGUGGCCAUUGAUCAUCGACCAGAGGCUCAUACACCUCACCCCACAUAUGUUUCCUUGCCAUAGAUCACAUUCUUGGAUUUCUGGUGGAGACCAUUUCUUGGUCAAAAAUCCGUAGGUGUUAGCCUUCGUAUUAUUGAAAAUGGUCGUUCAUGGCUAUUUUCGACAAAAAUGGGGGUUGUGUGGCCAUUGAUCAUCGACCAGAGGCUCAUACACCUCACCCCACAUAUGUUUCCUUGCCAUAGAUCACAUUCUUGGAUUUCUGGUGGAGACCAUUUCUUGGUCAAAAAUCCGUAGGUGUUAGCCUUCGUAUUAUUGAAAAUGGUCGUUCAUGGCUAUUUUCGACAAAAAUGGGGGUUGUGUGGCCAUUGAUCAUCGACCAGAGGCUCAUACACCUCACCCCACAUAUGUUUCCUUGCCAUAGAUCACAUUCUUGGAUUUCUGGUGGAGACCAUUUCUUGGUCAAAAAUCCGUAGUGUUAGCCUUCGUAUUAUUGAAAAUGGUCUUCAUGGCUAUUUUCGACAAAAAUGGGGGUUGUGUGGCCAUUGAUCAUCGACCAGAGGCUCAUACACCUCACCCCACAUAUGUUUCCUUGCCAUAGAUCACAUUCUUGGAUUUCUGGUGGAGACCAUUUCUUGGUCAAAAAUCCGUAGGUGUUAGCCUUCGUAUUAUUGAAAAUGGUCGUUCAUGGCUAUUUUCGACAAAAAUGGGGGUUGUGUGGCCAUUGAUCAUCGACCAGAGGCUCAUACACCUCACCCCACAUAUGUUUCCUUGCCAUAGAUCACAUUCUUGGAUUUCUGGUGGAGACCAUUUCUUGGUCAAAAAUCCGUAGGUGUUAGCCUUCGUAUUAUUGAAAAUGGUCGUUCAUGGCUAUUUUCGACAAAAAUGGGGGUUGUGUGGCCAUUGAUCAUCGACCAGAGGCUCAUACACCUCACCCCACAUAUGUUUCCUUGCCAUAGAUCACAUUCUUGGAUUUCUGGUGGAGACCAUUUCUUGGUCAAAAAUCCGUAGGUGUUAGCCUUCGUAUUAUUGAAAAUGGUCGUUCAUGGCUAUUUUCGACAAAAAUGGGGGUUGUGUGGCCAUUGAUCAUCGACCAGAGGCUCAUACACCUCACCCCACAUAUGUUUCCUUGCCAUAGAUCACAUUCUUGGAUUUCUGGUGGAGACCAUUUCUUGGUCAAAAAUCCGUAGGUGUUAGCCUUCGGUAUUAUUGAAAAUGGUCUUCAUGGCUAUUUUCGACAAAAAUGGGGGUUGUGUGGCCAUUGAUCAUCGACCAGAGGCUCAUACACCUCACCCCACAUAUGUUUCCUUGCCAUAGAUCACAUUCUUGGAUUUCUGGUGGAGACCAUUUCUUGGUCAAAAAUCCGUAGGUGUUAGCCUUCGUAUUAUUGAAAAUGGUCGUUCAUGGCUAUUUUCGACAAAAAUGGGGGUUGUGUGGCCAUUGAUCAUCGACCAGAGGCUCAUACACCUCACCCCACAUAUGUUUCCUUGCCAUAGAUCACAUUCUUGGAUUUCUGGUGGAGACCAUUUCUUGGUCAAAAAUCCGUAGGUGUUAGCCUUCGUAUUAUUGAAAAUGGUCGUUCAUGGCUAUUUUCGACAAAAAUGGGGGUUGUGUGGCCAUUGAUCAUCGACCAGAGGCUCAUACACCUCACCCCACAUAUGUUUCCUUGCCAUAGAUCACAUUCUUGGAUUUCUGGUGGAGACCAUUUCUUGGUCAAAAAUCCGUAGGUGUUAGCCUUCGUAUUAUUGAAAAUGGUCGUUCAUGGCUAUUUUCGACAAAAAUGGGGUUGUGUGGCCAUUGAUCAUCGACCAGAGGCUCAUACACCUCACCCCACAUAUGUUUCCUUGCCAUAGAUCACAUUCUUGGAUUUCUGGUGGAGACCAUUUCUUGGUCAAAAAUCCGUAGGUGUUAGCCUUCGGUAUUAUUGAAAAUGGUCGUUCAUGGCUAUUUUCGACAAAAAUGGGGGUUGUGUGGCCAUUGAUCAUCGACCAGAGGCUCAUACACCUCACCCCACAUAUGUUUCCUUGCCAUAGAUCACAUUCUUGGAUUUCUGGUGGAGACCAUUUCUUGGUCAAAAAUCCGUAGGUGUUAGCCUUCGGUAUUAUUGAAAAUGGUCGUUCAUGGCUAUUUUCGACAAAAAUGGGGGUUGUGUGGCCAUUGAUCAUCGACCAGAGGCUCAUACACCUCACCCCACAUAUGUUUCCUUGCCAUAGAUCACAUUCUUGGAUUUCUGGUGGAGACCAUUUCUUGGUCAAAAAUCCGUAGUGUUAGCCUUCGUAUUAUUGAAAAUGGUCGUUCAUGGCUAUUUUCGACAAAAAUGGGGGUUGUGUGGCCAUUGAUCAUCGACCAGAGGCUCAUACACCUCACCCCACAUAUGUUUCCUUGCCAUAGAUCACAUUCUUGGAUUUCUGGUGGAGACCAUUUCUUGGUCAAAAAUCCGUAGGUGUUAGCCUUCGGUAUUAUUGAAAAUGGUCGUUCAUGGCUAUUUUCGACAAAAAUGGGGGUUGUGUGGCCAUUGAUCAUCGACCAGAGGCUCAUACACCUCACCCCACAUAUGUUUCCUUGCCAUAGAUCACAUUCUUGGAUUUCUGGUGGAGACCAUUUCUUGGUCAAAAAUCCGUAGGUGUUAGCCUUCGUAUUAUUGAAAAUGGUCGUUCAUGGCUAUUUUCGACAAAAAUGGGGUUGUGUGGCCAUUGAUCAUCGACCAGAGGCUCAUACACCUCACCCCACAUAUGUUUCCUUGCCAUAGAUCACAUUCUUGGAUUUCUGGUGGAGACCAUUUCUUGGUCAAAAAUCCGUAGGUGUUAGCCUUCGGUAUUAUUGAAAAUGGUCAUUCAUGGCUAUUUUCGACAAAAUGGGGGUUGUGUGGCCAUUGAUCAUCGACCAGAGGCUCAUACACCUCACCCCACAUAUGUUUCCUUGCCAUAGAUCACAUUCUUGGAUUUCUGGUGGAGACCAUUUCUUGGUCAAAAAUCCGUAGGUGUUAGCCUUCGUAUUAUUGAAAAUGGUCGUUCAUGGCUAUUUUCGACAAAAAUGGGGGUUGUGUGGCCAUUGAUCAUCGACCAGAGGCUCAUACACCUCACCCCACAUAUGUUUCCUUGCCAUAGAUCACAUUCUUGGAUUUCUGGUGGAGACCAUUUCUUGGUCAAAAAUCCGUAGGUGUUAGCCUUCGGUAUUAUUGAAAAUGGUCGUUCAUGGCUAUUUUCGACAAAAAUGGGGGUUGUGUGGCCAUUGAUCAUCGACCAGAGGCUCAUACACCUCACCCCACAUAUGUUUCCUUGCCAUAGAUCACAUUCUUGGAUUUCUGGUGGAGACCAUUUCUUGGUCUAAAAUCCGUAGGUGUUAGCCUCUAGUAUUAUUGAAAAUGGUCGCUCAUGGCUAUUUUCAUGGUCGCUCAUGGCUAUUUUCAUAAAAAUGGGGGUUGUGUGGCCAUUUAUCAUCGACUAGAGGCUCAUAAACCUCACCCCACAUAUGUUUCCUUGCCAUAGAUUACAUUCUUGGAUUUCUGGUGGAAACCAUUUCUUGGUUAAAAACUCGUACGUGUUAGCCUUCGGUAUUAUUGAAAAUGGUCAUUCAUGGCUAUUUUCGGCAAAAUGGGGGUUGUGUGGCCAUUGAUCGUCGACCAGAGGCUCAUACACCUCACCCCACAUAUGUUUCCUUGCCAUAGAUCACAUUCUUGGAUUUCUGGUGGAGACCAUUUCUUGGUCAAAAAUCCGUAGGUGUUAGCCUUCGAUAUUAUUGAAAAUGGUCGUUCAUGGCUAUUUUCGACAAAAAUGGGGGUUGUGUGGCCAUUGAUCAUCGACCAGAGGCUCAUACACCUCACCCCACAUAUGUUUCCUUGCCAUAGAUCAC